UGUGUUGCUGCUGAGCCCCUGCUUCUAUCACAGGUCCUUUCUCGAGGAUGAUUUCUUCAGCAGGCCCUGUGCGCAGAACACGGGAGCUGCAGAGGGAUCCAGACCUCCCGACACAGACCUGCUGCAGACCGAGAAGACUAUGGAAGACACAGAAGCUGAGUUGCCGGGAAG